AGUGAACGCUGGCGGUAGGCCUAACACAUGCAAGUCGAACGGCAGCACAGUAAGAGCUUGCUCUUACGGGUGGCGAGUGGCGGACGGGUGAGGAAUACAUCGGAAUCUACUUUUUCGUGGGCGAUAACGUAGGGAAACUUACGCUAAUACCGCAUACGACCUACGGGUGAGAGCAGGGGAUCUUCGGACCUUGCGCGAUUGAAUGAGCUGAUGUCGGAUUAGCUAGUUGGCGGGGUAAAGGCCCACCAAGGCGACGAUCCGUAGCUGGUCUGAGAGGAUGAUCAGCCACACUGGAACUGAGACACGGUCCAGACUCCUACGGGAGGCAGCAGUGGGGAAUAUUGGACAAUGGGCGCAAGCCUGAUCCAGCCAUACCGCGUGGGUGAAGAAGGCCUUCGGGUUGUAAAGCCCUUUUGUUGGGAAAGAAAAGCAGCAGGUUAAUACCCCGCUGUUCUGACGGUACCCAAAGAAUAAGCACCGGCUAACUUCGU
rnacentral:rRNA from 1 species